UAGCUACCACAUGAGAUAUGAUAGAUAGGAUGCUUUAGAGUGGGCCCGAAGGCCCACAAGAUAGGCUGAGGAGGUGAUCACAGGCUUGAUGCAUGAACAAGG